ACGAGAGGGAGAGAGAGAGGGAGGGGCGUCGGGCGGCGGCGGCGCGGCGGCGGUGCACCGGCGGCGGGCCUCGCCGGUCGGCGGACCGGAAUGACGGCGCUGGAACCGGCUGGUGGGGGCGGAGCUGGCCGGCGGCGGGGAAGCGGCUUCGGCCGGCGGCGGAGAAGCGGCUUCGGUCGGCGAAGGAAGAGCGGCGGCCGGCGACAGCGGGGACCCAGUUCUGUGUGCACAGGGCGCCUACGCUUGUGUGUUCUUUUCUUCCCAUUUCUCCUGGUUGAAGUUUUCCUUAGUGGCAUCUAGUUAAGACUAUAGGUUUGUCCACCUGCAUCGGCAUCUACAAUGGAAUAUUUCAACCUCCAAAUGCUGGUAAGUGGUAACGCAAAAGAAGUGGCUGGUUUCAUAGUGUUUUUGUGCCAUGCUCUAAUUAUAAUCUGUGCCUCUUAAUUUAGCGAGUAGAUAAAGUAUCAUUCGAUCUGUAUUUCAUCUUGAAUCUUGUGGCCAUUAUAGCAAUUCUGAAUUGGAUUGACAUAUUUUUGUAUUGUGUUUCUGCUGUUUAGCUGCUCGAAUUUGGUUCGUUCUUGUGACAAUUUGGCCAAAAUUCAAUACCUUCUUCAGGAUUAUAUUGGCCCACAAAACCUUGUGGCUUAAGAACUGUAGAUUGUCAUGAAAUAUUCAUAGCCACCAGCAAUGGAACUGGAACGGCAAGCCCAUCUGCAAUUUCAUUUCAUUUUUUCCCAUUGGCCUGGCAUUUUGAUGGCUUAUGUUCAUUUCAGUUGUAAUUUUUCCUCUGGCUCAGAUCUCUUAUUUGAUUUCCUUUAAAAGUGCAGGCAGCAGAAACUUUUCUUCGGAAUUUUGAGGGCAUGAUUGUGCCGAAUGCUUGGCUCUGUUCUUCUGUUUUGUGAUUACUGUACUUUUCCUCCAAAUACAAUACAAACAGGGCCUUAGUCUGUUGAGCAACAUUUCAUGACAAUCUACAGUUCUGUUGAAUGGUUUCUUUGCAUGUUGAGAUUCGUUGGGGUGUUGCCACACCUCUUUAUGCUUUGUUCUGGUUGAUGUUUUAGUUUUGAAGGUUGUUUCGGAAACACGAAAAUAAAUGUGGAGUGCCAGAGAUUUCCUGAAAUCUUCAGGCUAGCAUUGUUGUGUGCUUUACUUUGGCUUUGUUUCAUAAGGUGUCGAGUCUUUUUUGUCAUUAUCGCUCUUGUGGCUAUUCUAUAUUAUUGAUUGGAAUAUUUGCUUAUAGUGUUAAUAAGCACACUCCCAUCAUAAUUUAAUUUUAGUGUAUUCCUACACUGCUCAUCCCUGGAGGCCUCCAUUUAUGGCUAUCGGAUCGAAGCUGUCUUCUGACAAACUUGGUUCUUUCAGAAUACAAAUGUUUUGCUAGUGUAGCCACACUUUUGCUUCACCUCUAUAGUGUUUUAUUACUUGUUUGUCCUCGUCUGAGGGCAUCUUUCUCCUCUCUUUCACCACUGAUGCCAAGAAAAAUAGGAACAUCUUAGGUUUUUUACUGUAUUAAAGGGAUAAAAAUAACUAUGCCAAUCUUUAGGGUUUGUUUGAUUAUGGAAAUGAUAUGUACAGUGUGUUUAUGGUUAGUUUGGAUACUUUAGAUUAGCCGCUGCUACCCUCGGCUAGGGAAAUCUUCCUGAUAAAAAGAAGAGAAGAUUGAUUCCUUAAACGUUUGGACGUCUUUUUUCUAAGAAUGUAGACAUGCUCCCUGCUCUCUGUUUCUAUGUAGAAACAUGAUAUAUGAUGACUAGCAUAGCAUGGCAUUUACUCACGUCGUUUGGAUCACUCUGACGUUGCAUUACUGCUGAAGGGUGUCAGCUAAGGAACCUCAUGUAUAGUUCACACGGUGUUCUUUUUUACGCCCACACGUUUGUUACGAACCAUGCGAUCAAUGGACAUCCAUUCAACUUGUAUAUAUUCGCACACUAUCAAUGAAAUAAUAAUAGAGAUUUCACUCUCGAGUUUAUUGUUUACA